GUUAGUUUUUUCCUCUCCCAAUCAUCUCCCAAUUAUCCUCUACAAACCUCACAUUUCAGGGCAGAGAAGAUUUUGUCUGAGCAGAAGGGUCACUCCACUUUCUGGGUUGAUCAUGUUGCCCACCAGGGGCUGCAGCUUCAUGAACAAGCUUGAGCCAGGCUCCCUGUCAACACUCCAGAGGUGACACAGCCGGGCGGCAGUGCCCCACUGGAGCCCUUCCAAGGGGCGAUCCACUCCAAAAGCACAUGGUCAAAUGCAGGUCUCAGGCCACACUCUGUGGCAAUAGCAUGUGUGAAGUGGGAGGAACCAUUUAGGUCACGUGAGUCAGAGAACUUCGUAAGAGGUUAAGGGCAGUAACUGCUUUUUGGAACAUCCAUUAUGUUAAGCCCACGUGGACAAGACUGUUUCCAUGUCUCAUUUCAUCUGUUCCCAAGCUCCCUGACGUAGCUGAGGGAUUUCAUCUUCAUUUUACAGAGGAGGACUUCAGACGGUGACAUUCCCAAGUUCACAUGUUCUUCAGGACCGAGCAGGGUACUAGAUAAAGGGAUGGGUGUGACACUGGGACAGUUCUCCAAGAAUCCCCAGGGCCAGGCACUGUGGACUCCUACUUGGCAGGAUAGGUGUCACCCAAGCAGAGCAGACAGAGGAGAAAAUCCUCUCUGGGACGUGCCAGGGACUGAGUUGUGGUUAGGGUUUACUUAGGGACAGAAAGUGGGAACAAGCAAACUAGAGAGGCUACACCUGCCAAGGCUCAAAGGUGCAGUGUUCAUCAGGACAGGAGGACAUUCUAUGAUCAGGAAGACAAAACCCAUCCGGAAGGUUGUGAGCUGUCUUAAUCAUGUUUUUAUUGUCUGUAUUUUGUGAGGCUUUUACAUCCAAGAGAGACCUCCCCUCAGGGCCAGCUAGUUCCUAGAGUAGCAAACAAGUUGUCUAUGAGCACCUUUCAUAUGCAGAACCCAUAUCCCCAGCUAUCUUCACCCAGCUCACACUCCGGGCUCGAAUUCCC
rnacentral:lncRNA from 1 species